rnacentral:pre_miRNA from 1 species
AAUAGAUGACACCGUUAAUUUUUUCUCACAUGUUUGACCAUUCAUCUUAUUCAAAAAAUUUACAUAAUUAUAAUUUAUUUUGUUAUGAGUUGUUUUAUCACUCAUAGUCUUUUAAGUGUGGUUUAUAUCUUAUAUAUUUGUAUAAAAUUUUUUGAAUAAGACGAAUGGUCAAACAUGUAAGAAAAAGUCAACAACAUCACCUAUU